rnacentral:rRNA from 1 species
GAUGAACGCUAGCGGCAGGCUUAACACAUGCAAGUCGAGGGGUAUAGUUCUUCGGAAUUAGAGACCGGCGCACGGGUGCGUAACGCGUAUGCAAUCUACCUUUCACAGAGGGAUAGCCCCAGAGAAAUUUGGAUUAAUACCUCAUAGUAUAGCAGUUUCGCAUGAAACCACUAUUAAAGUCACAACGGUGAAAGAUGAGCAUGCGUCCCAUUAGCUAGUUGGUAAGGUAACGGCUUACCAAGGCAACGAUGGGUAGGGGUCCUGAGAGGGAGAUCCCCCACACUGGUACUGAGACAUGGACCAGACUCCUACGGGAGGCAGCAGUGAGGAAUAUUGGGACAAUGGGCGCAAGCCUGAUCCAGCCAUGCCGGCGUGCAGGAUGACGGUCCUAUGGAUUGUAAACUGCUUUAUACAGGAGAAACACUAUUCGUGAAGUAGCUUGACGGUACUGUAAGAAUAAGGAUCGGC